rnacentral:lncRNA from 1 species
UUGAUGAUGAUUUUAGUGUUGGUGAUUUGUAUUUUUACAUGCUAUUUGGUGAUGACAUAUUGGUACUUUUACAUGUAUGAAAGGCGUCAGUGUUAUGUUGGUGAGUUGUUGUAUGAACGUAUGCAUAAUUGUGUCAUAUGUUCAUGCAUUCGUAAGUAUUUAGAGGUGAUGUUCAGAGGCGAUGGAUAUGAUACUAUUUUGAUGUGACGACCUUGACGAUGAUUCGGUUCUACAUGCAUAUAGAAGUUGUGUUUAGGCGCAUUGCAUAUUUUGACAUGUGUCAUAAUUGUUAUGUGCUUGGUGAACAUUUGUAUGGUUG